GAUUUUAAGCUAAAAUAGAUUUUUAGGUGUCUGCAAUCAAGGCUAGUCAAUUUUGGGGUAAAUCGAUCACAAAAUGGCCUUGCUUAACUACAGUGAGAGUCCUUGAAAAAGUCGGACUAAAAGAUGGAGUGGACCACAAGUCAUAUCCACCAAAUAGACCUUGGCUUUAGUCCAAGACUCAAAAGUUCUCUUCUGCCGUGUCUACAGUCUUGGACUUCUCAUUCUUCCUUGGCCUCAGGCGCAAGGAAAGGGUUCGGAUAUGCAGAAUGUACUCAAGCUCAAUAUCUAGGUGUACAGCUAUAGAUCCUACUGUGCUAAGCGGCCUCAUGGAGUGAUCUUCUUACUAGCAAAAUUUGCACACCAAUAAUGAAACAAAGGUUGCAAAAUAAAGAGCUAUGGCAUCUGCAUGUACUGCUAGUUCAUGAAAAAUGAACAUUUAUUGUCCAUCUCUUCAAAUUGAAAAGACUGCAGAGCCUGAAUUACCUGCAACGUUAUGCUUCUUAUGAAACAUCAGCCAGCCUACAGACAGAAGCUCCCUUUUCCAGCUUUAAGCAAGAGGAACCACAAUGAGAUACAGAUCUUGGUAUCAUGGACUGGUCACUUUUUACAACCAACACUAAUUGUAAAAUAAGAUUUACAAAUUAAUUCCUAUAAGCUAUUAAAAAUGCUCUAGUCAAGGUACUAAAAUUUUGCCAUUGAGUUUGAGGUUUUGGGUUUGAUAAAAA